rnacentral:SRP_RNA from 1 species
ACUUCGUCCUCUUGGGUUUGUGUGUAUAUAAAUUGAGUCAGGCCAGGAAUGGAGCAGCUCUACGUAUGCAUGCGAGCGUCUAGAGGGUCGCGACGUGGA